GGAGAUUUCUCAUUCCGGAACCCUUGUUUGCAGAAGUUUUCCAUUUCACGAUUCUCUCUCUCUCGCCCCUCUGCAGCAUCUCUCUUGCAGGAAGAAACCACCGCUCACAAUUCUCUCUCUCUCACCCUUCUCACUGUAGCAAGAGAAACCCUAGCGGUGGUUUCUUCUGCUGCUCCCGAUCAAGGUGAAAGCUCACGAAGGGGUUUUACCACUACUGGAAGGGGAUUAGUUGUCUCUCUCUUGCGAAGGUUAGGGUAUAAGGUUUCUUCUGCUGCUCUACUCAUGAAGCUCGUGGGUUGCUCUGUGAAGGUUUCUCUCUCCUCCGGGGGGUUGGUCUCUCUCUACUCAAAAGAGAAAUGGAUGCACAACAACGAAUGUGUAGCUGUGGAAAGGUGAUGGUCAUCCGAACUUCUCAAACGUCGAAGAAUCCUGGACGACGAUUUUACAGAUGUCCGGUAGGCGGAAAACAUCCGGGAUGUUUUAUUUGGUUGGACCCAGUAUCGAGGAAUUAUACUGAAUCUGUAGACACAAGAUCAUGUUAUUCAACAGAAAGUGUUAAUAGGAACACACGGGUCAUCUCGGCUAUUCGUCAACCCUCCUAUAGUCCACAAGUGCGGAAACAAAUACUAUUGGACCGGUCGUUGCUCAAUCAUUAUUAUGGUUUAACCAUCUUCCUAUGUAUUUGGGUGUUAAUUCUCUCGUGUUAUGUCUUCUAUGUAACGGCCUUGUAAAUAGGACUAAAAAUUAUUUCAAAUUAGUGUUACGAAGACUUUGAAA